GCACAAGCGGAGGAGCAUGUGGUUUAAUUCGAUGAUACGCGAGGAACCUUACCUGGGCUCGAACGUAAGAUGACUGUAGGUGAAAGCUUACAUCUCUUCGGAGCAUUUUACGAGGUGCUGCAUGGUUGUCGUCAGCUCGUGCCGUGAGGUGUCGGGUUAAGUCCCAUAACGAGCGCAACCCCUACCUUUAGUUGCCAUCAGGUUAAGCUGGGGACUCUAAAGGAACUGCCUACGCAAGUAGUGAGGAAGGCGGGGAUGACGUCAAAUCAGCACGGCCCUUACGUCCAGGGCUACACACGUGCUACAAUGGCCGAUACAGAGGGCAGCUACCUGGUGACAGGAUGCAAAUCUCCAAAGCCGGUCUCAGUUCGGAUCGGAGUCUGCAACCCGACUCCGUGAAGUUGGAUUCGCUAGUAAUCGCGCAUCAGCCAUGGCGCGGUGAAUACGUUCCCGGGCCUU
rnacentral:rRNA from 1 species